UGUGGUACAGCUCAGUGGUAGAGCACUUGUCUAGAGCGUGAGUGAGACCCUGGGUUCAAUCCCCAGUACUGCUA
rnacentral:tRNA from 1 species